rnacentral:rRNA from 1 species
AUGCUGACAUGAGUAGCGAUAAAGAGGGUGAGAGACCCUCUCGCCGAAAGACCAAGGGUUCCUGCGUAAAGCUAAUCUGCGCAGGGUUAGUCGGCCCCUAAGGCGAGGCCGAAAGGCGUAGUCGAUGGGAACCACGUUAAUAAUCGUGGGCCUGGUGGUAGUGACGGAUCUCGUGUGUUGUAUCUCCUUAUUGGAUUGGAGGUGCAGCGAAGAGGUUCCAGGAAAUAGCUCCACCGUAUAAACCGUACCCGAAACCGACACAGGUGGUCAGGUAGAGAAUACCAAGGCGCUUGAGAGAACUCGGGUAAAGGAACUAGGCAAAAUGGUGCCGUAACUUCGGGAGAAGGCACGCUGGCGUUAGGUGAGGUCCCUUGCGGACGGAGCUGAAGCCAGCCGAAGAUACCAGGCCCCUGCGACUGUUUAUUAAAAACACAGCACUGUGCAAACACGAAAGUGGACGUAUACGGUGUGACGCCUGCCCGGUGCCGGAAGGUUAAUUGAUGGGGUUAGCGUAAGCGAAGCUCUUGAUCGAAGCCCCGGUAAACGGCGGCCGUAACAAUAACGGUCCUAAGGUAGCGAAAUUCCUUGUCGGGUA